CACGGACUCUUCGGAGUGAGUGGCGGACGGGUGAGUAUCGCGUAGGGAUCUAUCCACGGUGGGGGAGUAACACUGGGAAACUGGUGCUAAUACCGCAUGAUACCUGAGGGUCAAAGGCGCAAGUCGCCUGUGGGGGAGCCUGCGUUCGAUUAGCUUGUUGUGGGGUAAAGGCCUACCAAGGCGAUGAUCGAUAGCUGGUCUGAGAGGAUGAUCAGCCACACUGGGACUGAGACACGGCCCAA
rnacentral:rRNA from 1 species